rnacentral:lncRNA from 1 species
CUUCCUCCUCCUCCUCCUCCUCCUCCUCCUUCUUCUUCUUUGGCAGCACUAACCAUAUCCUCUACCGCUGAGCCACAUCCUAGCCCCUGGACUGACUCUGAGUUACCAUCUUCUCUAAGAGGAUUGGAAUUCUGCCACCCUCCAGCAAGAAGUAGCCACCCAUGCAGAACUCCACCUAAAAGGGUAAUAUUGAUAUCCAUACCUUUAGGGGCAACGUACAGUAUUUAUUUACUUAUAGUAAAGAACUGUAUCUCCUUAUAGACUAAAGAAAACUGCCCUUUUAUACAACGUGCACAUAUCCUAAUUUAUCAUCAGUCUGCCCUCUUACCAGCUCUACUCCAGGAAGGCAAGAAUUCUGGCUGUUGAUCACGGCUGGGCCUCCGGCCUCUAGAACAGAGCCUGGCACAGAGCAAGGGAUCAGUGACCAAGGGAGGACUGGAUGUGUCCUGCUGGGUGGCGACACCCCUCUAGUCAGCACGAGGCAGGCCUUUCCCACAAGGUGCGCAUCUGCUCAGCAGGUUCCUGGGUGCACAGGAGCUUAUAGUCUGGUUCCAAGGGGCCAUUAAAAUAUAGCAGGUGUCAGCAAAGGGGAGGCCCAGGAAGCACAUCACAGGGCACUUGGUCUGGGCUAGAGGUCAGGAAAGGCUGAAAAAGAGCCCUUUACCUGAGACCUCAGGCACAAUGCCGUUGGCCGGGCAAAGCCUAGUGCUUCAAGAACCAAGCCUGGUUUCCAUCCGUUGGCAUUCCAAGACUGCGUGAAGUGUCCUGCAGUAUCCUCUGACGUAUGGCCCUGUCUGAUUUGAUACCUCACUCAGGAUUUUACUUAUGAAAAAGCGCUUUCAUGUAUUCACUAACUGCCCAGCUUGCAUGCAUCCGACCGCAGGUUUACGGGCACAGUGAUGGACGGGAUCAGGGCCUGACUAUCUGCAAAGCCAGAAGACAGAGGGGCACAGCCAUGUUGGUGUUGUCCAAGGGACAAGGGCCUAGACGUGGGUCUUCUGUGAGGCCUGAGUCCAAGUUACCCAAGACUCUCCCCAGGAACUGCCGAACCUCGCUCCAGGGUGAAUUCCCAAUUUGGCCGCCCUGUCUCACCUAUCUCCUAGGUUUCCUUUCCAAAGUGAUUCUCUCAUAUCACUUUUGUGAAGAGCUUCAGUGUUUACCAAGCGAUUCUGCAUACAGCAUCUCACUUGAUUCUCAAAAAAAAAAAAAAACCCUUGGGAAUCAGAUCAUGUGGGCACUCUGAUUUCAUUUUACAGGAAACAGACUAAGGUGGUAAAUGAAAUUGUGCAAUUUCGCGCAGUGAAUGAGGAGAGAACUAAGCCCACCAUCCGGGUCUUCAGACUUCGGGUCCCUGGCUCUUUCCAGGAAAUCAUAAAUUGCUCAUUUAAUUUACAUUCCGGUUGCUGCGGCUCCCUCUCUCUUCCCCUCCGGACUGGGUCCUUCUCUUGUCGCCUCUCCUCCUCCCCGACAUGGUGUGUGGACUGGAGGGAUUGAGGGAGAUCAGAACAUCCCACCCCAGACAUAUUUCUUUGGCAUGUUUUGCGUUGGUUACUCAGAGGAACCGCAGAGCUCUGCAGACGCCCGCAGGACACUGUGCAGAUGGAAAGGCUGGCCGCUGGGGAAUCGGGCACAAAUGUCCAUCAACGUUAGAAAAAUAGACACGGACGGGGGAGGGGUUUUUCCAUCUCAGUGCCCUCCCCCCAUGCCUGGGAAGGAUCCGCUCACAGCAGGAAGGAAGAGUCAGAAGUCGGACGCCCCCAGUUCCCUGGGACCUCACCCGUGUCCCCAGGCAGCUCCGGGCGCCUCCUCCCUGCAGCCCUCCAGCCUGCUCCACCUCCCUCCCCAGAAGCCCAGGCCUGCUCCUGUGGUCAGGCCCAGGAGGCUGCAUUGCCGGGCUCUCCUUUGAGCCUUGUGGAACCUAAUAAAAGGGUCAUUUCCCUACUCGCA